GGAGCUGUGGCUUAGUGGUAGAGUGCUUGCCUAGCAUACAUGAGGCGCUGGGUUCGAUCCUCAGCACCA
rnacentral:tRNA from 1 species